AUUGAACGCUGGCGGCAUGCUUUACACAUGCAAGUCGAACGGCAGCGCGGGCUUCGGCCUGGCGGCGAGUGGCGAACGGGUGAGUAAUACAUCGGAACGUGCCCAGUAGUGGGGGAUAGCUCGGCGAAAGCCGGAUUAAUACCGCAUACGACCUGAGGGUGAAAGCGGGGGAUCUUCGGACCUCGCGCUAUUGGAGCGGCCGAUGGCAGAUUAGCUAGUUGGUGGGGUAACGGCCUACCAAGGCGACGAUCUGUAGCUGGUCUGAGAGGACGACCAGCCACACUGGGACUGAGACACGGCCCAGACUCCUACGGGAGGCAGCAGUGGGGAAUUUUGGACAAUGGGCGAAAGCCUGAUCCAGCAAUGCCGCGUGUGUGAUGAAGGCCUUCGGGUUGUAAAGCACUUUUGGCGGGAACGAAAAGGACUGUGCCAAUACCACGGUUCGAUGACGGUACCCGCAGAAUAAGCACCGGCUAACUACGUG
rnacentral:rRNA from 1 species